rnacentral:rRNA from 1 species
CCUACGGGGGACAGCAGUGGGGAAUAUUGGGCAAUGGGCGCAAGCCUGACGCAGCAACGCCGCGUGAAGGAAGAAGGCCUUCGGGUUGUAAACUACUUUUGUCAGGGACGAAGAAAGUGACGGUACCUGACGUAUAAGCCACGGCUAACUACGUGCCAGCAGCCGCGGUAAUACGUAGGUGGCAAGCGUUAUCCGGAUUUACUGGGUGUAAAGGGCGUGUAGGCGGGGGGGCAAGUCAGACGUGAAAUUCCCGGGCUCAACCCUGGAACUGCAUCUGAAACUGUUCUUCUUGAGUGUUGGAGAGGAAAGCGGAAUUCCUGGUGUAGCGGUGAAAUGCGUAGAUAUACGGAGGAACACCAGUGGCGAAGGCGGCCUGCUGGACAUUAACUGACGCUGAGGCGCGAAAGCGUGGGGAGCAAACAGGAUUAGAUACCCUAGUAGUC